rnacentral:rRNA from 1 species
UACAGAGGUCCCGAGCGUUUGUUCGGAUUCACUGGGCGUAAAGGGUGCGUAGGUGGUGAGGUAAGUCGGAUGUGAAAUCUCCGGGCUCAACCCGGAAAUGGCAUUGGAAACUACCUUGCUGGAGGAUUUGAGGGGGGAUUGGAAUACUUGGUGUAGCAGUGAAAUGCGUAGAUAUCAAGUGGAACACCAGUGGCGAAGGCGAAUCCCUGGAAAAUACCUGACACUGAGGCACGAAAGCUAGGGGAGCAAACAGG